UUAUUUUUUGGCUGUCAUAUUUCUUAUAUGUAUCUCUUACUGCGAGAAAUCUGAAGAAGGUACAAAUUUCUAUCAUGCGCACUCCAAUCCUCGAGAAGUUUCUAGGGUUUUUUCGUGUGCACUACAUUUUGUGGAAUCUCGAAUUAAAAUUCAUCUCAUUGCUCUAACAACAUUGUUUUAUCGAAACUAAUUGAAUUUUUAUUUGAAUAUCGAGACCCAAUUUUGAAGGUAUCAAGCUGCUUCUAGGGACUGUUCUCGAAAUUCUUUGGCUGCUUCUCCAAAGAUAUCCAAUUUUAAUGGGCAAGUAUGAGAUAAAAUCAUAUUGAAAUCACUCAGAGAAGAGAUGUCGAGUUCUAGUUAUAGAAAUGUUGCAGUUAACCUGUUUAUACAAGAGAUUUUACAUCUGCAAUUACUCCAACUUAGUGAUGUCCAGUUCAAACCGGACCCAACAGUUUCGGCCCGAACCAGCCCGGGGUCAACGGUUUUGGCUUGGCCCGUUGACCACACGCCUAAACCGAAAUUGGAACCGACAGAAGGGGUGGUCCAUUUACGGGACCAACUUUUCAGAACCGAGAACCGACGAUUAAUCGCCGGUCUCGGCCCGCGGUUAACCGUCGGUUCCCUUUAUGGCAGACGAGGCAGCAGGCUAGGCGCGGACCGGCGCGAUCUUUCAGGCAAAAAUCACGGGUUUUGGGCGGUUAACUUAUAAACAUGCAUUUUAACCUCUUGGUGUUUCAUAUUUGAUGUUUAGUUAUGAGGAUUUUGUGUGUUUGAUGGUUUAUUUGAGCUUAUAUUGGUUUAUGGUCAAGAACUUGUCACUUGCUUGUUGUUUGAACGAAUUUUCAGAAAUAAUGAAGCAAAAUUUGGAAGAAUUGGAUAAAAUACAAGUUGUAGUUCAUCUCGAGAGGAGUUCGUUAGCGCAAAUGAAUCGUAAAUCGGAGUUCAGAGGAGAGAGAACGAGCAAAAAAAAUCACUGCGCAAAGCUAUCAGGAGUCCGACGAAUUUUCUGUUUCGCCAUGCGGGCUGGGCGCGCGGCCGCGCCUUGGGCCGCGUGCCAGCUUAGAUUUUGCGCGAUUUUGGAGUUAUUUCAUCUAUUUUUCGAUCCUACACGGUUUUGACCUAUAUUUUGAGUCCUAUGGCAUAUAAAUACUCCCCAAAAACAUAUUGAAAAUGGUUUUUUAAUCAUAUUUUAUUUUUCCUAAGAGCUGUGAGAGACGGAGGACGGAGCCAGAGCAAGAACUGAAGAAUCUCGAUUUUACUACGGUUUUAUUGUUGAAUAUUUUUCUAUUUUAUUGAGAUAUUGAUUCUAGUUCA